rfam:TPA: Bos taurus chromosome 22, whole genome shotgun sequence.
UCCCUGGUGGUCCAGUGGCUAAGAUUCCGAGCUCCCAAUGAAGGGGGCCCAGGUUCAAUCCCUGGUCAGGGAA